AUGUGCCAGCAGCCGCGGUAAUACAUAGGGUGCAAGCGUUGUCCGGAAUUAUUGGGCGUAAAGAGCUCGUAGGUGGUUCGAUACGUCGGAUGUGAAAAUCGGGGGCUCAACCCCUGACCUGCAUCCGAUACGGUCGAGCUAGAGUUUGGUAGGGGAGACUGGAAUUCCUGGUGUAGCGGUGGAAUGCGCAGAUAUUAGGAGGAACACCGGUGGCGAANGCGCCACUCUGGACUGAAACUGACGCUGAGGAGCGAAAGCAUGGGUAGCAAACAGGAUUAGAUACCCUGGUAGUCCAUGCCGUAAACGUUGGGCACUAGGUGUGGGUUCCAAUCAACGGAAUCCGCGCCGUCGCUAACGCAUUAAGUGCCCCGCCUGGGGAGUACGGUCGCAAGACUAAAACUCAAAGGAAUUGACGGGGGCCCGCACAAGCAACCGGAGCCGUGUUGCUUAAUUCGAUGCUACGCGAAAACCUUACUGGGUUCGACAUGUUAGGAAAGCCACAGAGAUGUGGUGUCCUUCGGGCCUAACACAGGUGGUGCAUGGCUGUCCGUCACUCGUGUCGUGAGAUGUUGGUUAAGUCCGCACGAGCGCACCUUAUCAUGUUGCCGCAGUAUGUUGGGACUCAUUGAGACUGCGGGUUAACUCGAGGAGUGGGAUGACGUCAAGUCUCAUGCCCUAUGCUAGGCUGCAACGCUCAUGGCCGAUCAAGGUGC
rnacentral:rRNA from 1 species